UGGAGCCACUGGACUUUGGAGAAAUGGAGGCUUAGAAUCUGAGAGUGUAAAAUUGUCAAGAUGGGAACAAAACUGGAUUUUGGCAGAGAAAUUUGAGAUACUGUCUUAAGCAAGAUGAUACAUAGCAAGUGAGAGAGGGCAGACUUAGCAUCCUCACAGACACAAGAGAUCUCAUAUGGGUGUUUUUGAAACUGAAGCCAAUUGAGAAGCAUCUGCAGACAACAGAAUGCUGUCAAGUGUGAACAAUGAAAUUUCUUCUCAGAGAGGAGAGCAAGCAAAGCACACUCUCAAAAAAUCAGGGAAAGCUUUGUCCAAACAAAAACCAUGCUUAUGUCUUCAUUGGAGUUUCCAGUGUGUUGCAACCUAGCUCUGAAGAGCACUGUAAACCAAGACGGAGCUGACCCAGCCUUUACAGUCAGCAAUACUAAUUACUUUUAGACCACCAUCAGCUAGUCUAGCUUAGGCCUAUUGUACUUCAACAGUACAGGAUCAUAAAGCAAUGAUUGCUUUCUUAUGAAGAUGUUUUAGUUUAAAAUGAUUUUUUUCUCCUUUUUUUUUUUUUUAAAUUCUCCAGAUCUCAGUAGAAAGCCUCAUAAAUGUUAUAUGGAGACAUUUUCCACAUCUCUAACCUAAGUUAAUUUCUUUUAUGUUUUAUCUGAAGUCACUGGGAUUGUCAUGUUUUUUUAUGGGAUAAUUAUAAUAUCCCUGUAAAGUUUUAUUACCUUAACAUACUGGUAUAUAUUCUCAAACCUAGCUCUAGUUUAAUAUGUAUUUCCAAAUAAUUAAUAUGUAGGAUAGACAAGCACUUGGUGCAGCAGAGAAAUUAGACAUCAGGAGAGUCUCUGAGGGAGAGAUGAAUCCUGUCCACAUUCCCGUCCUCCCUGUAAGGGUGGCCAAGAGAGGUUAAACUGAAAAAAUUGGUACCAGCAGGUUGCCAGCACCUUCCUGGUGGUAGAACAGAUUUAACACAGAGUUGUCAACCUGAAGAGGUAAAAAUAUAUGAGAUGAGGCUUCCACAUCAAGAGUUUGAUCAUGCGAAUGAAAAGAAAUACUAUGGGGAAAAGGGCUGGGGUUUUUUUUGUGUUUGCAAGUGUUAGGACAGGAAAGUGGGUUUGCCUUCUUCAUGCAAGAUGAGCUUCUCAUAAAUCUUAUGUUUAUUAAGAGUUGCAUGUCUAAGGAAUGAGAAAGAAAUACUUUGGUAAGGUCUUGAAGGCUAAUACUGCCUAUGUCUGUGACACCAUGAGUGCAUCCAGAGUGGUAGCUCUGAGUCAGCUAGCUCUGUACUGCUGGUGCUCUGCCUGUCCCAGCAAAGGGUUCAGCACAGAUGAAUAGACAAAUGUCUCAAUACAGGUCUGAAUGGGUUAUUUUGCAGUAGACCGUGCAAAAGCCCUGCUAUUACCCAUCGCUUCAUGUAGCUGGAUGGAUACAUGCUGAGUACAGGGUGGCUCUAGGAGCUGCCAUGCAAACCUGUCUGGAGGGAGAUCACUGAAACCAUCAUCUGUGGCUUCACAAUGAGCAUGCUAUCCAUCCUUUUUCCUGAGCAGAGAUGGGAAGACUUUACAGUUUGGUUGCAAACAUAAUUUUUUCUUUGUCAGAAACAACAGGUACUGGCAUGACAGCUUUGUGCUCCACAGGCUUAUUUUUCCUCAGGCAAUGGUACCUGAGCUCUUGAUCCCACAGGUAUGGCCACAAAAGGAAUCAUUAACUAUAACAGAAAACAAAACCAAUAGUAGCUACUACUUACAGAUAACGUAAGAUGCAGGAAGACAAGUGAAGCAGAUGCAGCAAACACCUGACGUUGGUAUCUCAGAGUUACCUUUCAACACUUCCCAGGAGGGGAACAGCCUUUACCACAUUACGGAUUACCAGAGGCACGAUCAGUGACAGAGGCCUCUGUCACGUAAAUUGAUCAGCAAGGCCUCUGAUUAUUUUGCAGAGAAAAAAAAUAUUUGUAUUGGUUCAGUAAGAGUUGACGGUACAGAGAAAUUUUGACAUGGGAUAUCUCCAGAUACCACAAAAUCUGCACAAUACCAUCCAGGAAUACCCAUACAUAAGCAUGGGUGCCUUAUGAACUAAGUAAAUAUCAGUGGAUAAAAGUAAUAGCCCGCUCCUUUUAUUAAUAGCCAGUACUUUUGUAUUUUCCCCAUUUCUCCUUGCCUGGUAGCUAUGGGAAAUGCCCAUCCAUACAGACAUUAAUUUUAAUAAAAACUUCUUCCUUUUCUGUUC